GUUCUUCCUUAUUUUAUUCUUUCUGACAGAGUUUUGAAAAGAAUCUUGCUCCAGAAGAACGUUUCUCCCCCUUGGAUCUCUUAACAAAAUCCAAGGACAGAAUGAAGAACUUGGGCUGAUUAUUGACUUAACAAAUACUCGCCGCUAUUACAAGCCAGAGGACUUACCAGAAACUAUUCCUUAUUUAAAAAUUUGUACAAUUGGGCAUCAGGUGUCAGAUGACGACGCUAGUUUUAAAUUCCAGUGUGUUGUUAAUGGGUUUCUGAAAGAACAUAAAGAUAACGGUGAGUUGCUUUUGUUUUUGUUUUUGUUUUUCCUUUACCUGAACUUUGGUAUGCAUUUUGAGUGGGCUUGGGGGUUUUUAACAUUUUUAAUAGUUCUGACAUUAGUGUCAAGUUGUGUUUGGUAACAUUAAGGUGGAAAUGUCAGAUGGUGCUAAUAGAGUACGGUGUUUUUCCUGUUUAUGGUCACAAACAAUUUAGUUUAGUUUGGAAAGUGAUUUUUGUGAGAAAUAUGAACUGAGCUAGCUUACUUAUCUCUUUUUUAAAAAUUUGAAUGGAAAAUACAUAAAAACAUAAAAAUGUUCUUUUGUCCUAUUUAUUGGUUGAGAGGUGGAAGAAAAGGUUAAGACUCUCGGGUUCUUAGUGUACAUAAAAGAGAAAACAAAAAGCAAAGGUUCCGAGUGAGACAGAUCCCUAGAAGCAAAACAAAACAGAGUGGAUCAGAAGAGCGGCUUCCUCAUCAUAUAUGUGUUGAAGAUAUUUUUGCCGCUUUUACACUUCGGUGCAAGUGAGGAAGAACACUACCACCUCUUAUUCUUAUCUUCAGACAGGAAGAACUUAAAAGGCUGGUGUUUUCUUGUUUCCGCUUUAAGAUCUACUCUGUUGAUAGUAGGUCUUAAUAGCGUGUGAAUUUUAAGGAUCCACUUGCCUUUUUCUAGCAUCUAACUAUCAGAAGGAACGUGGUGUUUGCCAUGUUUUAAGACUGAGGAAUCUUUUGUCUUUGGAACACCACUGACGCCCAUGUGAAAGUGUUCAUUUUGUCCUCUUUCUAAAUUUAGCCUGAGGAGUGUGCACUUUAUUAAAUAAACGUAACAGACAGUAAAUAUCCGUGUAUAUAUAAAAUGAUGCACGUAUAUACAUAAAACAGGGAGUAGGGGAGAAGGAAUAGAGAUGGAGGUGGGAAGAUAGGGGAUAGGAGGCGAGAGAGAGAGGGAGAGACUGGAAUUUCAAGAUAAAUUUUCAUUCUAUAACCUGGUUGCUUAAUGCAGGUACUAGCUCUUAAAUAUCUUAAGCCCUAUUCACAGACCUUCUGUGUACUUUAGCUUUAAAACUUGAGAGGCUUGGCCUGUCCUGUGAUAACCAGGGUGUCUAGAAAGGAGGCAAAUUAUCUGAUUUGUUUAAACCGUAGUCACAGAAAUGUUCCCUCUUAAGAUGUUAGGGCGCAGCUGCCGGCCUACUCACUUCCUCCAGGCUCCUUUGUGUGUGUUGUGUCUGUUCUGCGUGGGCUAGAAGAUCCUUACAAGUGCAUGAGAACACGUUUGUAAACCUUGAUUGUUCACAUGUUAUACCAAGUGUAGUCCAUUGCAUAUGCUGACUCCUCUGUGGGUCUUCUGCAUGGAGUGGGCUAACUUCACCAUGCUGUCUGCCAUUGCAGUCUCAGGACCUUAGUUAUGAUCCAUUAGUGACUCUCCUCUGCUGUAAGGCCCUCCCACAGGUGCCAGGCUCACUGAUAAUGAGGAGGAGACUAUACUAUGCACUCCCUAGAAUUGGUAGAGACUCAGAAAAUAAAUUGUUUCAGUAAACACCGAGAGCCUUAUAGGUUUGUUGUUAGGGCACGGGGAUACAGAGGUGAGUAGAAGUCUUUGUUCAGUAGCAACUUACAGUUAUCUAGGAAGAGAAACAUGUAGUGAGUAUAAGUGGGUUAAUUAUGAUAAAAGAAUCAAGUGCAGCAGGAACAUAGAGGAGAAAUUGAGGAAGGCCUGACUGAGGAGACAGCGUUUGAGCUGGGCUUGGGGGAAGAGGAUUUUGCCGGAAUGAGGAAAGGACAGCCCAGGUAUUGGGGACAGGUACAGAAGGCACAGGGCUUGAACUUGUGCUCUGGAGGGGCAGCCUCUGGUGUGACUAGAGGGUAGUGUGAAAGGGCAAAGAAGUCAUACAUUGAUUUUCAGCAAAUAUUUGUAUAACACCUUCUAAAUUGAAGGCACUGUUCUAGGAAGUAGGAAGAGAACAAAGUUCUUGCCCUUACAUACUUUCCAUUCUAGUGGGGGAGAGAGAUGAAUAAAUAAGUCAAUAUAUGGAGUGUCAAGUGGUGGUAAAUGCUUUGGAGAAUAACAAAAGAAGAUGAAGAGGUGAGGGAAUGUGGUAGGUGAUGAGGGAAGUCCCCUCUAUUAAGAUGUCGAUUGAGCAGAGCCUUGAAGUGAGAAACAAGCCAUUGGCUAUCUGGGAGAGUGGAGAUGGGGUGGGAGGGUGUGUUCUGGGAGAGUGGAGAUGGGGUGGGAGGGUGUGUUCUGAAGCAGAAGGAAUAGUAGGUGCAAAGUCCCUGAGGCACGACUGUGCUUGGCAUGUUUGAGGAAUAGUAAGGAAGCCAGUGUGGCUGGACAGGGGAAAGUGAGUGAGGGCAGGGCAGUAGAGAAUGAGAUCAGGGGAGGCUGGCAGGGCAAAGGAGGGAGGUGGAUGAUGUAGGUCCUUGGAAGUCAUAGUUUGAACUUCUAAUUCAGUUGGAGAGACAGACUGAUACUUGUUUGUAAAGAGUUCUCAAUGCUAUGCUAACAACCUGGGCUGUAUUCUGUGCUAAGUGAAGAUGUUCAAGCAACAGAGCAAUCCAGCCAAGUUUAUAUUUUAGAAAGAUAACAGCGUCACUAUCCAAGACACGUUGUAGACUAUGUAUAUAGUAUGUGUAUAGUGUGCUGCUCUUCUGUAAACUACAGGAUACCUGUUAUGUACAAAUACUUACAUACAAGAUACAAGUGUGAAUGUAAGCACUUGGGAAAUAUCUGGAAGAACCACACAAGGAACUGGGAGAGUCGGACAACUUUCUAUGUCCCGUAUGAUUGGAAUUCUGAAGGGUACACACACGAACUAAUGGACGUGUGCUACCAGCCUCCAGCUAAGGAGGGAGAUUGCAGGCAUCAGAAUCCUCUUUACCAAUCAAGCGCGUUAAUCCGCCUGCGUGAUGACAGUCAUCUCGAGACGCCACGCGGUGGCGCAUGCGCGGUAGAAGGAGGUUCGCGAGCUGCGUGGGCUUGUGCCUAGGCGCCUGUGGUUCGUGGCCUUGUGCUGGCACCGGGGACGCCGGGUUGGCGACUUUGGCAGUCCUGGCGUUGGGUGGGCGGUAUCUUGGGGGUGACAUGAGCCAGUUCGUCGGCCACGCGGAAGGGCGGAAAGCACAUCCCGGAAAGGUAAUACGCCUUGGCCCCUGGGCGUUGCCGGUGGAGCUCAGAGCCCCUGGACCUGGGCUUCGUCUCUUGUGCUGUCGCCUGUCACAGUGGCCCCCGCGCGCUGGCCCGUCCGCGCUGUGCUAGGGGGUACUGGUCGUCUCGCGGCUCAGUUCACAGUAGCUGAAAGGGACAGUGUGUGAUGUUCUGGUUUCUCCCCAUCGUUUUAAAAGGGAGGCUCUGGCCAUUGCUCCUCGGGUAAAAUGCAGGGGGACUGCUUUUUAAGAUGGGACUGUCAGUGUUGGGGACCCUCCUUAAUUACCAGGAUGGAAUCCCCUUCAGUUCCUCAAGCUGUGUUGUUUAGGCACAGAAAAUGUGAGUAAUAGUCACUGGAACUAAGUUUGAGUGAAAAAACGCACCGGUACCGCCGAAUUUUCCGUCGAAACAGUUGAUCUGUGUUAUCUCUUGGAAUUAUAAAGGGCGUACAGUUGCUUCCUAACCGGUGUCCUUUGAGAGCUCUACCUCUGUACGUUCAAAGGAUUAAUUUUGAGGCUUUGCUCAUACGUGUAGUAAACCUUUAAUUCCCUAAGAUCUUCCUUUCCUCCAUCUCAUACCCCAUUAAGCCCGCUUCAGUUUAUCUCCUGAAUUUCUUCUGAAUCUGUCAGCUCUUCCUCAACAUCCUAAUACUGAACUUGCCUGUCUGUUGCAAUGAGGUCCUAACCAGUGUCCAUAUAUCUUGUUUCCUUCCAAUCCAUUCUUCACACAAGAAACCUUAAAAGCAAGUUGGGACAUUGCUCAUAAACAUGGCUCAAAAACAUUGUUUUGAGAAUAGAAAACAAACUGUUGGCCUUUAACACUCUGCGUGGUCUAGAAUCCUGUCUGCUUCUCUGCUACGUGGACUCCAGCUUGGUGCCUCUCCAACUUUACUAUGGGUAUGCCUCUCUUGUGGAUCUUGUUAAGUGCAGGCUGUAAUUCAGUAGUUCUGGGUGGGGCCUGGAUUCUGUGCUUCUAACGAGCUCCUAGGUGACGGUGACCCUGAGAGCAAGGGUCCAGCUCCUGCCUUUCUCCCUUCUUUCUGGAAGAGCAGGACGUCUGCCCCCCCACCCCGGGAGGAGAAAACAUCCGCAACGUGACUACUAGUAACCAGCUUCCCUCACAGGCAAGGGACCUUUACCACAGCUCCCUACCAUUUUGUCUGAGGCGCAGCAAGCCAAAACACUGACACGCUGAGGUUUGCAGCAAAGAGGAGGUUUAUUCACAAGGCAGCCAAGCGAGGAAGUGACGUGACAAUAGGUCUCAAAUCCGCCUCCCCAAAGGCAAGGGGCUUGGGGUAUCUA